GAUGAACGCUGGCGGCGUGCCUAAUACAUGCAAGUCGAGCGAACAGACGAGGAGCUUGCUCCUCUGACGUUAGCGGCGGACGGGUGAGUAACACGUGGAUAACCUACCUAUAAGACUGGGAUAACUUCGGGAAACCGGAGCUAAUACCGGAUAAUAUAUUGAACCGCAUGGUUCAAUAGUGAAAGACGGUUUUGCUGUCACUUAUAGAUGGAUCCGCGCCGCAUUAGCUAGUUGGUAAGGUAACGGCUUACCAAGGCAACGAUGCGUAGCCGACCUGAGAGGGUGAUCGGCCACACUGGAACUGAGACACGGUCCAGACUCCUACGGGAGGCAGCAGUAGGGAAUCUUCCGCAAUGGGCGAAAGCCUGACGGAGCAACGCCGCGUGAGUGAUGAAGGUCUUCGGAUCGUAAAACUCUGUUAUUAGGGAAGAACAAAUGUGUAAGUAACUAUGCACGUCUUGACGGUCCCUAAUCAGAAAGCCACGGCUAACUACGUG
rnacentral:rRNA from 1 species